UUGGGGUUGAGGCUCAGUGGUAGAGCACUUGCCUAGCACAUGUGAGGCGCUGGGUUCGAUCUUCAGCACCACAUA
rnacentral:tRNA from 1 species